rnacentral:rRNA from 1 species
AUUGAACGCUGGCGGCAUGCCUUACACAUGCAAGUCGAACGGCAGCACGGACUUCGGUCUGGUGGCGAGUGGCGAACGGGUGAGUAAUAUAUCGGAACGUGCCCUGGAGUGGGGGAUAACUAGUUGAAAGACUAGCUAAUACCGCAUACGAUCUAUGGAUGAAAGUGGGGGAUCGCAAGACCUCAUGCUCGUGGAGCGGCCGAUAUCUGAUUAGCUAGUUGGUGGGGUAAAAGCCUACCAAGGCAUCGAUCAGUAGCUGGUCUGAGAGGACGACCAGCCACACUGGGACUGAGACACGGCCCAGACUCCUACGGGAGGCAGCAGUGGGGAAUUUUGGACAAUGGGGGCAACCCUGAUCCAGCAAUGCCGCGUGAGUGAAGAAGGCCUUCGGGUUGUAAAGCUCUUUUGUCAGGGAAGAAACGGUUCUGGCUAAUACCCGGAGCUAAUGACGGUACCUGAAGAAUAAGCACCGGCUAACUACGUGCCAGCAGCCGCGGUAAUACGUAGGGUGCGAGCGUUAAUCGGAAUUACUGGGCGUAAAGCGUGCGCAGGCGGUUGUGCAAGACAGAUGUGAAAUCCCCGGGCUCAACCUGGGAAUUGCAUUUGUGACUGCACGGCUAGAGUGUGUCAGAGGGGGGUAGAAUUCCACGUGUAGCAGUGAAAUGCGUAGAGAUGUGGAGGAAUACCGAUGGCGAAGGCAGCCCCCUGGGAUAACACUGACGCUCAUGCACGAAAGCGUGGGGAGCAAACAGGAUUAGAUACCCUGGUAGUCCACGCCCUAAACGAUGUCAACUAGUUGUCGGGUCUUAAUUGACUUGGUAACGCAGCUAACGCGUGAAGUUGACCGCCUGGGGAGUACGGUCGCAAGAUUAAAACUCAAAGGAAUUGACGGGGACCCGCACAAGCGGUGGAUGAUGUGGAUUAAUUCGAUGCAACGCGAAAAACCUUACCUACCCUUGACAUGGCAGGAAUCCCGGAGAGAUCCGGGAGUGCUCGAAAGAGAACCUGCACACAGGUGCUGCAUGGCUGUCGUCAGCUCGUGU